AUUGAACGCUGGCGGCAUGCUUUACACAUGCAAGUCGAACGGCAGCGCGGGCUUCGGCCUGGCGGCGAGUGGCGAACGGGUGAGUAAUACAUCGGAACGUGCCCAGUAGUGGGGGAUAGCCCGGCGAAAGCCGGAUUAAUACCGCAUACGACCUGAGGGUGAAAGCGGGGGAUCUUCGGACCUCGCGCUAUUGGAGCGGCCGAUGGCAGAUUAGCUAGUUGGUGGGGUAAAGGCCUACCAAGGCGACGACCUGUAGCUGGUCUGAGAGGACGACCAGCCACACUGGGACUGAGACACGGCCCAGACUCCUACGGGAGGCAGCAGUGGGGAAUUUUGGACAAUGGGCGAAAGCCUGAUCCAGCAAUGCCGCGUGUGUGAUGAAGGCCUUCGGGUUGUAAAGCACUUUUGGCGGGAACGAAAAGGACUGUGCCAAUACCACGGUUCGAUGACGGUACCCGCAGAAUAAGCACCGGCUAACUACGUG
rnacentral:rRNA from 1 species